rnacentral:rRNA from 1 species
ACCAGGGCCUUGUACACACACAAAAAGAUGACGGAUCCCCCGCGAAGAGAAAUGAAGGUUUUCGCUCCCCUCUAGCUCUGGGAUGAAAGGGAAGACAGUACCGUUCGAAUAGGGCGGUACCUUGACGGUACCUAACCAGAAAGCCACGGCUAACUACGUGCCAGCAGCCGCGGUAAUACGUAGGUGGCAAGCGUUGUCCGGAAUUAUUGGGCGUAAAGGGCUCGCAGGCGGUUUCUUAAGUCUGAUGUGAAAGCCCCCGGCUCAACCGGGGAGGGUCAUUGGAAACUGGGGAACUUGAGUGCAAAAGAGGAGAGUGGAAUUCCACGUGUAGCGGUGAAAUGCGUAGAGAUGUGGAGGAACACCAGUGGCGAAGGCGACUCUCUGGUCUGUAACUGACGCUGAGGAGCGAAAGCGUGGGGAGCGAACAGGAUUAGAUACCCUGGGUAGCCCCCCGCCGUAAACUAAAGAAUGCAAAACUGUUAGGGGGGGAUUUCCGCCCCCUUAAAACUGCACCUAACGCCAUUUAACACCUCCGCCUGGGGGGAGAACGGGCA